rnacentral:rRNA from 1 species
UACGUAGGGGGCUAGCGUUGUCCGGAAUUAUUGGGCGUAAAGAGCUCGUAGGCGGUUUGUCGCGUCGACUGUGAAAACCCGAGGCUUAACCUCGGGCCUGCAGUCGAUACGGGCAGACUAGAGUUCGGUAGGGGAGACUGGAAUUCCUGGUGUAGCGGUGAAAUGCGCAGAUAUCAGGAGGAACACCGGUGGCGAAGGCGGGUCUCUGGGCCGAUACUGACGCUGAGGAGCGAAAGCGUGGGGAGCGAACAGG